rnacentral:rRNA from 1 species
UACGUAGGGUGCAAGCGUUGUCCGGAAUUAUUGGGCGUAAAGAGCUUGUAGGCGGUUUGUCGCGUCUGCUGUGAAAUUUCGGGGCUCAACCCCGAACUUGCAGUGGGUACGGGCAGACUAGAGUGUGGUAGGGGAGACUGGAAUUCCUGGUGUAGCGGUGAAAUGCGCAGAUAUCAGGAAGAACACCCGUGGCGAAGGCGGCUCUCUGGGACGGUACUGACGCUGAGACGCGAAAAGCGUGGGGAGCGAACAGGG